UAGAACUUUUCAUCUCCCUUUGAAUACAUAACCUUUGACUGAUUAAAAUGCUGGAGAGGAGUGGUAAAGAAGACGGAACCAGAAUCCUUGUGCUUGCCACCAGGCCUAAAGAAGUUGAUCACAGGUCCUAAGCAGUUGACAGCCACUGCGAAAUCAUUGCUUUGAUCAGGUGAACAAGUCAUUGCGGCGUUAGUGACGCCAAGCUGUUGGGCAGGAUUAGGUUGACCCAUGGGAUGUAAAGGAAUGGUUUUAGGGUUUGAUUUGGAACCACAAGGACUGUAGUAGUCGCUAAUAUAUAUGACUUUAUCUUUAUUAUUAUCAUCAUCAGACCGGGCCUUGAAAACUACCCAACCAUGGGACAUUCCGACCACAAAACACUCUUUUCGAAACUCCAUGGGAAGUGCCUUGUCUCGUACAAUCACUUCAUCUUCCUUGACCGGGUCAAAAUAGUGGAUAUCGCUUCUUACAUGAAGAUUCUCAUCAUCAGGGUUUCCAUAAAUUGUUUUAGCAUACACUAAGUAAGGGUUGGUGGUGAUGGAUGAGGAGAACAUCCGAUGGGUUUGGUAUCUCUGUGGAAGUGUGUGCAAAGUAGACAUCAGAAGAAGAAAAAGAAGAAAACAGAGAGAUAAUAGAGACAGAGAACUACCAGAGCAAGUUUGCGGAGAGAGAGGUUGAGAAGCAAAGACGAAGCCAUAGCUUGGCCUGCACUGUGCCGCUCUCAAAAGGGUUUCUGAGUUAGUCUCUCUUCUUGACUCUCGAUCUUAAGAUCCAAAGUACUUGUUUGAUUGGCCACAAGAAAAAAAAGGGGUACAGUGACGCUAUUUAAUUUGGCGAAGGCAUUGUCUGUCUCUCUCUCCUCUUUCUUUCCUCUGUUUCCACGUUUCUCUACUUUCCUUUUUUGUUCUUUUUUACUUUCCCUUGUUACAUAAUCUUGUGCCGAAGGUAAAGUAAAAUCUUGUGAUAAAAUUUUCUUUACUACUAAAAAAAUUUUAUUUAUUAUGCACCACCAUAUCCAACUACAGUGUUAUCAUAUUGAUUGAUUACCCCCACAUUUACUAUUUCAACCACAUAAAUGUUUUAGAUUUCAAAAACUUAUAACUUUAUUCAUUUAAUGAUAGUAUAUAGUAGAAUUGAAAACCAAACAAAAAUUAUCCAGCCAAAGGCCCAAAGUAUGUAAAGCAUAUUUCAAAGGUUAUGAAAUAAGAACAUGUAUCUCAACUUCUCACUUAACUUUUUUUACUAAUACGUUUCUUAUAUACCCAUCUUUUAGAAACUCUGGGAUGGAGGUGGUCUCACCACCCUAUCAACUAUUAUCAUACUCAAUACCUUACAUUUAAUAUUCCACUCGCAUUGUGUCCUUCCCACAAGAAAAAAAUCAUGUCUCUCUCACACUUUCCUUUUGUCCUCUGUUCCCAGAAUAUGUUUCUCCACUUUCCCAAGAAAAUCUUGUGAUCAAAUUUGUACACAAGAGUCUCUACUAUGCAACUAGUAUCUUAUUUACCAUUCUCACAUUUGAUACCCCACUCACAUUUACUAUUUCUUCCAGUAACAACCACACCAAUGUUAUAAUUUUACUAAAUUAUAGAUGAUAACACGCGCACAUGCGAGAGGAUACGUUUUUUAUAUUAAUGUUUGUUCAUUAAAUGGUUUUAACAUUUUGCAAUAUUAUAUUUUUUUUUAAAUGACGAAUACAAAUGUUAGUCUUUUAAAUGUAUCAUCGUUGUUGGAGAGUUAACGUAGUACAACUCAUUUUAAUUAUUUUUAAGACUUCAUAUGCACAAAAAGAAAUUAAGUUUUGCGGCUAACACAAAUUACAAAAACCAGAAAGACAACAUUGAUUGUAAAAUGACGUAAGGGAUUUGAUUUUCUGCUCUCGAUUUGUUUAGUAUUGACUCUCCAUAAGUGAUUUCAUUUUCUACUUCUAUAAAAUUGUUUUUUCGUUCUCGUUUAUUUUACUCUCCAAAAAUUAGUUCUACUCCAGAAACAUAUCUACGAAUCAAUUUUUUUGAAAAAAAAUCACCAGCAAACUCUAUUCAUAGGUUAGUGUUCAAAUCUAAUAUAUCAAUUUGUUAUAUAAUAUAAGUGCAUACUCGAAAUAUAAAUGUUUGUCUAGUAUAUAUUCACCAGUUCGGUAUAAAAAUCAUCUAAUUCUAGAACAACAAAACAAAUUAUUUUUUUAUUCCUACGCUUUUGAGUUUUAGAUACUUAAGAGUAUACGAUAAAAAAAAAAAUAUAUAUAUAUAUAAUACUUCACCAUUCUAGUAUAUGUAAAUUAUGUAUAAAGUAAGAAAUGUUUGAUUUAUUAAAUGAUAAACCAUAAAGGUUAUAAUAAAUAGUUCAGAUCUUUCAUUCUUACAAUUAUAAUAGCUUUAUAGGGUAUUAGGGAGAAACAAAUAUAAGACGAAUGAUCUAAUCUCUAAUUUUCAAACAAACUUAAAAGAAGGUGAUUGGAAUCUUGUCAUGUUAUUUCAUUAAAAAAUUUUUAGGAAUAAAAAUCAAUACUAAAAUAUUUAAUCUGAAUGAAAUAAUAUAUAUAUAGUGCUUCCAAUAUUAAAAAUCACUUCGAUUUGAAGAAGUGUAAUUCUUGGAUUGUCAGGAUCAAAUAACAUAUUAGAAACCACAUAUUUAAAAAAUAAUUUGUAUACAUAAAAGUGUAUACAUUAAAGUAAACACAUAAAUCAAAACCAAUACCUUUUGUUUAUUUACGAUCACGUUUUUGGUAAAUAAAUCAAAACAAUCAUUUUAUUUACUUUUUAUGGUAUAUAAUUAAACUUUAGCGAUAUUGACAUAGAUAUAUAUAUAGUAUAUUUUAAUAUAAUUAAUUAUUAUUAACACUUCCUACUCAUAUGAUUUUAUUAACAUUUGUAUAUUUUCUGUAACAAAAAUUUAAGCGUACCAUUUGAUUAAAAAACGUUCCCCCGAGGGAGACUCCACAAGGUGUACAGUCUUGGAACAUGAGUCCAAUAUCUCCCACUCUAACUGAGUCAACUCAGGAUGGUUGAUGAACCGCAGCUCAUGCACCUCGGAGCCGGUCAUAUCCUCCUCGAAGAAAGCAUCGUAGGAAAGCAAGAAUUGGCCGCCAACACUAGUGGUGUAGAACUUUUCAUCUCCCUUUGAAUACAUAACCUUUGACUGAUUAAAAUGCUGGAGAGGAGUGGUAAAGAAGACGGAACCAGAAUCCUUGUGCUUGCCACCAGGCCUAAAGAAGUUGAUCACAGGUCCUAAGCAGUUGACAGCCACUGCGAAAUCAUUGCUUUGAUCAGGUGAACAAGUCAUUGCGGCGUUAGUGACGCCAAGCUGUUGGGCAGGAUUAGGUUGACCCAUGGGAUGUAAAGGAAUGGUUUUAGGGUUUGAUUUGGAACCACAAGGACUGUAGUAGUCGCUAAUAUAUAUGACUUUAUCUUUAUUAUUAUCAUCAUCAGACCGGGCCUUGAAAAC
rnacentral:lncRNA from 1 species